rnacentral:misc_RNA from 1 species
AAAAACUACAAAUUGCAGGCUUUGGCGAAAUCAACGGUUACAUUUCACUAAUUAAAAACGUCCCAUUCCAAUUUUAUUUCCACUGCACAUGAAUGUGAUACAAAUAUAAAAAGCAAGGAAGCCACUAGGCCUCACGUUUCCACAGCUUCCACAUCAAUUUCCAGCCAUUAUUACACAGAUUACUUUACCUGCGACAUUCACAUUUUUAUUUGACAAUUCCACAACUGCCUUAGAAACUUGCUCUUUUCAACGACGUAAUCGUGAUGGAAGACCCCAAUGGCGACGACCCAACUUCAAUUUCAAACGAGUCGUAUCGUCGAAAUAAUUCAACCACGAAAAGUCGGGAGAUAAGUACCACGAAAUCUUUACCCGCGCAUUGUUUAUUUCCCACCGUUGGAUGAUCUGUCUCAGGCCCGUUUGACCACAGCACGUGUUGCAACAACUUUUCUCCCUCCCCCACGAAUCGAUCCGGCACGUACUCGUCGGGGGUGUCGAAUAUUUUCGGAUCUUUGGUUGCAAAAGGUUGGUACCCGAAUAUCAUCUCGCCUUCUUUUACUUCAUACGCAGCGUCGUGGCUUUCAAUGAUCAAGUCACGCUUUGCUUUACCAUACUGUGCUGGUACUGGCGGUUCGAUACGGAACGCUUCGUAGACGGCGGAUUUCAUCAGUGGCAUCUGUUCUAGAGCAGCCAUCGUGAUCUCCCCACCGUUGGAUUUAAUGACUGAUCUGAUCUCUUGGGCUAGUUGGGUAUGGAGCUUGACUCCAGCACGGCCGAUCCACUUGAGUAUGUUGGGGAAGAAGAUCUUAAGGCCGCCAAAGGUAUUAAAGCACGUCGCGAAAAGGAUAUUGUGACAGGCUUCUUCUCGCGAGAUACCCAUCUUCUCAGCCUCGUCAAGUAGGGAUCCGGCGGAGGAGUAGAAGUAAUCGUAGAGUCGCUUGUAAUCUUUCUUGACGAGAAAAGCAGGGAGACGGAAGGUGUGGAUGGUGGGCUCUUCAAGAAAUGCCGGAAGGCCAAGUGUGAGUAUAGGAGCAAGUUGAAAUAGUACCCAUUUAGCUAUCAGAGUGGGUCCAUCAGUCCCGAUCUUAGUAUCCACGGGGUUUACACCGAAAUAACUCCGACCCAAGAAGCUAAAGGCCGCUUGUUCGCCGGGAUUGUUGAAAUUGACUUUACCCUUAGACGCGAGAUCGUUCUCCAGACUCUCAAACAGUCCGGUAUAAGUCGAGCUGAACUCAGGGAUUACAUGAUCGCGGCGAGACUUCAAAAGAUAGAACAAGAAAUUCUUGAGUUGGGUAUGCUUCGGCUCAGACGGGUCAAGGUAUGAAAGAAUUCUGUAGCCGCCGGUGAGCUCUGUGGAGGGCAUGAAGGUACCAGUAAAAAGAUCUUUCUUUUCGACCUUAGUUACGUCGAAAAGAACAGAAAAGCUCUUCCCAUCAAGCACGACGACCACGUGUGGAUUGGAAGAGAUGAAAGGACCAGGAGGCAUGUUGGCUCUGAACACCGUUGACUGGUACUUUUGAGCUCUGGAUUUGAAGUACUCUUCUUUGCCUUGUUUAUAGAAAUAAUCAAGUCGAUCAUUGAUGGGACCGAUAAAAGGGAGACCAUAAUCGCCGGGGAUUUUGCGAAGCGGAAGUUUGGAAGAAUCAGUUGGUGAAACAGUUGGCGACGAGAUACCUAUAGAUGGUUUUUCAGACACAGAGGCCUUGAUUGGAGAGAGAGAGGAUCGUCGAGAGUAAGGCUUAGUUGAGCUUCUCAACGACAUAAAUUGAGAUUGCAGGGAAGGAGAAGGCAGAACUGAGGAAGCCAUGUUGGUAGUGAAGUAGAAGCCUUACGGAGCUAUGUAGCUUAGAGAUAUUUCAGGUACUUGGAAGAUUGGUAUGAGUAUAAAAUGUAGAAAAUUGAUGAUUGGGCGAGUAAAUGGAGGGUGAGGGUCUCUGGUUAUUUAUAGUGGUGGGGAGCAUUGUCCUGAAAAAGCUUGUUAUGCUCUCUGGUAAAGAAUCGUGGAAGGCAU